GAGGGUAUAGCUCAGUGGUAGAGCACAUGCUUAGCAUGCACGAGGUCCUGGCUUCCACCCACAGUACCUCCA
rnacentral:tRNA from 1 species